rnacentral:rRNA from 1 species
GAUGAACGCUGGCGGCGUGCCUAAUACAUGCAAGUAGAACGCUGAAGGAGGAGCUUGCUCUUCUGGAUGAGUUGCGAACGGGUGAGUAACGCGUAGGUAACCUGCCUGGUAGCGGGGGAUAACUAUUGGAAACGAUAGCUAAUACCGCAUGACAACAGUUAUUGCAUGAUAACUGUUUAAAAGGGGCAACUGCUCCACUACCAGAUGGACCUGCGUUGUAUUAGCUAGUUGGUGUGGUAACGGCUCACCAAGGCGACGAUACAUAGCCGACCUGAGAGGGUGAUCGGCCACACUGGGACUGAGACACGGCCCAGACUCCUACGGGAGGCAGCAGUAGGGAAUCUUCGGCAAUGGACGGAAGUCUGACCGAGCAACGCCGCGUGAGUGAAGAAGGUUUUCGGAUCGUAAAGCUCUGUUGUAAGAGAAGAACGAGUGUGAGAGUGGAAAGUUCACACUGUGACGGUAUCUUACCAGAAAGGGACGGCUAACUACGUG